CUUUAAUUCAAAUUUUAUUUAUAAAAUAUUUCCAAUUUUACUUACAAUUAAGGUGUUUGUACUUGGAGUACAGGUCUAUCAGUAUUAAAACAAGCUAGACAACUCGACAGUUGUUUUACAAUUGUUACUAAUUGGUCCAGUGUUGUUACAAGAGUAAAUAAACUAUCUAUUACAGUAAUACAAAAGCUAAAAUACUAUUUCGUGUAAAUGAAAACCAUUGAUUUAACCUGAUUUACACGAGUGCCGUCAUGCAUUCGAGUAGAAAAAGAAUUAGACUAAGAAAAAAAAUUUUGCGGCUGUGACCUAAACGAAAGGUAUUCAGAUUACAUAUAUACAUUUCUUGAGUUUCUUGAAUAAAUUUUCAAAGCUAAGGCCGGUCGUUCAAAGAUGGGUUAGUGCUAGCCUCUUCCGCAGGCAACUCUGUGGGUACCUAUAAAAGGUCAAAACGUACCAAAAGCAUUCUUUACUAGUUGCCUGCGAAGAAGGCUAGAUUAGCUCGAACCCUGGGUUAAAAAUUAAACCUGCUGUUUUGGUUUGUGCGUUUCUGCAUGUCAGAUUCUUUCAAAACUUUAGAAAGUAAAACUUCUAUCGACCCAGACGAGAUUUCUAGAAAAAUAUUUCCAUGUUCAAAAACAAGCUGGUGGAAAAAUUGCUUUGAAGAAUUUGUUCAUUUAUAAGCGACACUUUUUGAAC